AACGAACGCUGGCGGCAUGCCUAACACAUGCAAGUCGAACGAGACCUUCGGGUCUAGUGGCGCACGGGUGCGUAACGCGUGGGAAUCUGCCCUUGGGUUCGGAAUAACAGUUAGAAAUGACUGCUAAUACCGGAUGAUGUCUUCGGACCAAAGAUUUAUCGCCCAGGGAUGAGCCCGCGUCGGAUUAGCUAGUUGGUGAGGUAAAGGCUCACCAAGGCGACGAUCCGUAGCUGGUCUGAGAGGAUGAUCAGCCACACUGGGACUGAGACACGGCCCAGACUCCUACGGGAGGCAGCAGUGGGGAAUAUUGGACAAUGGGCGAAAGCCUGAUCCAGCAAUGCCGCGUGAGUGAUGAAGGCCUUAGGGUUGUAAAGCUCUUUUACCCGGGAUGAUAAUGACAGUACCGGGAGAAUAAGCCCCGGCUAACUCCGUGCCAGCCGCCGCCGUAAGAC
rnacentral:rRNA from 1 species